UACGGGGGGGGCAAGCGUUGUUCGGAAUUACUGGGCGUAAAGGGCUCGUAGGUGGCCAACUAAGUCAGACGUGAAAUCCCUCGGCUUAACCGGGGAACUGCGUCUGAUACUGGAUGGCUAGAGAUUGGGAGAGGGAUGCGGAAUUCCAGGUGUAGCGGUGAAAUGCGUAGAUAUCUGGAGGAAUACCGGUGGCGAAGGCGGCAUCCUGGACCGGCAUUGACGCUGAGGAGCGAAAGCGUGGGGAGCAAACAGG
rnacentral:rRNA from 1 species